AUGAACGCUAGCGACAGGCCUAACACAUGCAGGUCAGGGGCAGCACAAGGAGCAAUCUGAGGUGGCGACCGGCGCACGGGUGAGUAACACGUAUGCAACCUGCCUGUAAGCGGGGAAUAACCCGUUGAAAGACGGACUAAUACCGCAUAAUACUAAAUUACUGCAUGGUAAUUUAUUUAAACAUUUAUGGCUUACAGAUGGGCAUGCGCAUGAUUAGCUAGUUGGAGAGGUAACGGCUCCCCAAGGCAACGAUCAUUAGGGGUUCUGAGAGGAAGGUCCCCACACUGGUACUGAGACACGGACCAGACUCCUACGGGAGGCAGCAGUGAGGAAUAUUGGUCAAUGGACGAGAGUCUGAACCAGCCAAGUCGCGUGCAGGAAGAAUGUCCUAAUGGAUUGUAAACUGCUUUUGCAGGGGAAUAAAGUGCAUCACGUGUGAUGUUUUGUAUGUACUCUGCGAAUAAGGAUCGGCUAACUCCGUGCCAGCAGCAGC
rnacentral:rRNA from 1 species